AAAAUUCCAAGCUCUGUAAUGGGAUGGGAUCCGAAGCCCCAUUGAGGGAUAAUACAUUGAGAGCUCUCCCAUCCAACUCCUAUUCCGACACGUCCUCGUCGUGCAGAGUGGUAACAUGUGUCACCACAUAUCCAAGCUUGGGUACACGGGCUUGACCCAACCCCUUGGGCGGAUGGUGGCAUAUGGCGAACCAGGNNNNN
rfam:Anopheles quadriannulatus strain QTAD4_A unplaced genomic scaffold supercont1.258, whole genome shotgun sequence.